rnacentral:rRNA from 1 species
GAUGAACGCUGGCGGCGUGCCUAAUACAUGCAAGUCGAGCGAACAGAUGAUGAUCUUGCUCCUCUGACGUUAGCGGCUGACGUGUGAGUAACACGUGUAUAACCUACCUUUAUUUCUUGUAUAACUUCGGGAAACCGCAUCUAAUACCGGAUAAUAUAUUGCACCUCUUGGUUCAAUAGUUAAUUUCGUUUUUUCUUUCACUUAUAGAUGUAUCCGCGCCGCAUUAGCUAGUUGGUAAGGUAACGGCUUACCAAGGCAACGAUGCGUAGCCGACGUGAGAGGGUGAUCGGACACACGGGAAGUGAGACAAGGACCAGAGGACUACGGGAGGAAGCAGUAGGGAAUAUUCCGAAAUGGGCGAAAGCAUGACGGAGCAAGGCGGCGUGAGUGAUGAAGGUCUUCGGAGCGUAAAACUCUGUUAUUAGGGAAGAACAAAUGUGGAAGUAAAUAUGGACGUAGUGACGGUAACUAAAAAGAAAGCAACGGCUAACUACGUG